AAGAAACAACAACGCAGCUUAAUAGGGGAGCAUGAAAAAAACUUGCCAUGCACGGAAAAAGUUUAUUAAGGCUUUAUUUAGAGAUCAUUAUGUACAUUGUGAGGGAGCCGUGACUAGCAUGACAAGCAGCUGUGGCUAGAUUUUGACUUAGGUUAUGAUGAGUCCAAUUUUUUAAACUUCUUAUGGAUAAAUCUAUUAUUGCUAAUCCUACUUGAUAAAAUGGUUAAGAGAUACACAAUGAUUAUUAUAUGUGAUAUAAAAUUAGUAAAAUAGGCAUUGGUAUUUUCAGAGCGUUACGUGCUUAUCCAAUGCUGUUGACGCUCGAGGAAAUGCCUCAAAAAAAUGUAAAUGAAUCAUAUAACAUUGCAUGGUCAAAUGAGGCUGAGGAAGAGGUUCAAACAUAUAAUUAUAGACAUUUGAAAGAAAAGACUCUUCCUUGUUGUGAUGGAUGUGCAUUAAAACAUGAAGGAUGGAGUUGUUAAUUGGUGAUCUAAGAGAAAGCUUAACAAUUGACAAAACAGCAGUGAUAGUUUAGAUAUUCAUAUCAUAGCAGUGAGAGAGGCUUUAAUAUUUGUCAAAAGGUCAUAGAUCAAAUAGCAUGAAAGGGUUGGAAAUA
rnacentral:lncRNA from 1 species